UUGCGCAAUACGCGUCUGGGUACACUCCCCCCGACUAAAAGCAAAAAGAGCGUCGGGUGCAGGCAAUCCGGUCAAAGUCCGGAGCGGUCGCGCCACUGUAGACGGGCUCAAGCCCGUGAGCCAGAAAACUCACCCGGCGUAGUGGUCUCUG
rnacentral:ncRNA from 2 species